rnacentral:rRNA from 1 species
CCGGCGAGGGGAGUGAAAAAGAACCUGAAACCGUGUACGUACAAGCAGUGGGAGCACCCUGUGUGACUGCGUACCUUUUGUAUAAUGGGUCAGCGACUUAUAUUCUGUAGCAAGGUUAACCGCAUAGGGGAGCCGGAGGGAAACCGAGUCUUAAUUGGGCGUUAAGUUGCAGGGUAUAGACCCGAAACCCGGUGAUCUAGCCAUGGGCAGGUUGAAGGUUGGGUAACACUAACUGGAGGACCGAACCGAC